UACGUAGGGGGCGAGCGUUGUCCGGAUUUAUUGGGCGUAAAGAGCUCGUAGGCGGCUUGGCAAGUCGGCGUGUGAAACCCCCAGGCUUAACCUGGGGACGCCACUCGAAACUGCCAUGGCUAGAGUCCGGCAGGGGAUCACGGAAUUCCUGGUGUAGCGGUGAAAUGCGCAGAUAUCAGGAGGAACACCAGUGGCGAAGGCGGUGAUCUGGGCCGGUACUGACGCUGAGGAGCGAAAGCGUGGGGAGCGAACAGG
rnacentral:rRNA from 1 species